CUGGCUCCGGUUCACGUGGAUGCACCCAAGCAUCGACGACCCGGAGCA
rfam:Nocardioides sp. CF8 chromosome, whole genome shotgun sequence.